rnacentral:rRNA from 1 species
CAGCAGCCGCGGUAAUACGAAGGGUGCAAGCGUUAAUCGGAAUUACUGGGCGUAAAGCGUGCGUAGGCGGUGAGUUAAGUCUGCUGUGAAAUCCCCGGGCUCAACCUGGGAAUGGCAGUGGAUACUGGCUCGCUAGAGUGUGUCAGAGGAUGGUGGAAUUCCCGGUGUAGCGGUGAAAUGCGUAGAGAUCGGGAGGAACAUCAGUGGCGAAGGCGGCCAUCUGGGACAACACUGACGCUGAGGCACGAAAGCGUGGGGAGCAAACAGGAUUAGAGACCCCAGUAGUCCCCGUCUCUUAUAC